rnacentral:rRNA from 1 species
AUGACCAGGCGGGUGCCGGGGAAGGAGGAGGCCAGCAACGCGACCAUGGAUCUGGUAGCUUUCAACUGCCCCAGAUGCUCGCAACCCCUCAAGCCUCCAGUCUACCAGGACACGGCUGGGAAGCUUGUAUGCUUUUGUUGCUACGACGAGGUUACCAAGAUGCCACAUUUUGGUCCGUCGCCGGAGUAUAGUCGCUGCUUCACGGUGGAGCGCAUGCUGGAGUCGGUCCGGGUCCGGUGCACCAACGCCUCGCGCGGGUGCGCCGCCAUGACGCCGUACCACCGAUGGGCCGAUCACGAGAGCAGCUGCCCCCAUUCACCCCAGCCCCCGCCCCCAAGCGUGUUGAGCGCGGCGGAAAUCUCAACGACCUAUUAUUAUCCUGCUUCCCCCUUUGGUCGGGAGGAAUUGUAUUGGAACUAG